rnacentral:rRNA from 1 species
UACAUAGGUCUCAAGCGUUGUUCGGAUUCAUUGGGCGUAAAGGGUGCGUAGGCGGCUCGGUACGUCGGGUGUGAAAUCUCGGAGCUUAACUCCGAAACUGCAUUCGAUACUGCCGUGCUUGAGGACUGGAGAGGAGACUGGAAUUUACGGUGUAGCGGUGAAAUGCGUAGAUAUCGUAAGGAAGACCAGUGGCGAAGGCGGGUCUCUGGACAGUUCCUGACGCUGAGGCACGAAGGUCAGGGGAGCAAACGGG